UACGUAGGGGGCAAGCGUUGUCCGGAUUUAUUGGGCGUAAAGAGCGUGUAGGCGGUUUGGUAGGUCCGUUGUGAAAACUCGAGGCUCAACCUCGAGACGCCGAUGGAAACCAUCAGACUAGAGUCCGGAAGAGGAGAGUGGAAUUCCUGGUGUAGCGGUGAAAUGCGUAGAUAUCUGGAGGAACACCGGUGGCGAAGGCGGCGUCCUGGACCAACACUGACACUGAUGAGCGAAAGCCAGGGAGCAAACGGG
rnacentral:rRNA from 1 species